rnacentral:rRNA from 1 species
AUUGAACGCUGUCGGCAGGCCUAACACAUGCAAGUCGAACGAGUGGCGGACGGGUGAGUAAUGUCUGGGAAACUGCCUGAUGGAGGGGGAUAACUACUGGAAACGGUAGCUAAUACCGCAUACCAUCAGAUGUGCCCAGAUGGGAUUAGCUAGUUGGUGGGGUAACGGCUCACCAAGGCGACGAUCCCUAGCUGGUCUGAGAGGAUGACCAGGCAAACUGGAACUGAGAAACGGUCCAGACGCCGACGGGAGGAAGGAGUGGGGAAGAAUGCACAAGGGGCGCAAGCCUGAUGCAGCCAUGCCGCGUGUAUGAAGAAGGCCGGCGGGUUGUAAAGUACUUUCAGCGGGGAGGGGUUACCCGCAGAAGAAGCACCGGCUAACUCCGUGCCAGCCGCCGCGGUAAUAC